GACGAACGCUGGCGGCGUGCUUAACACAUGCAAGUCGAACGGAAAGGCCCUGCUUUUGUGGGGUGCUCGAGUGGCGAACGGGUGAGUAACACGUGAGUAACCUGCCCUUGACUUUGGGAUAACUUCAGGAAACUGGGGCUAAUACCGGAUAGGAGCUCCUGCUGCAUGGUGGGGGUUGGAAAGUUUCGGCGGUUGGGGAUGGACUCGCGGCUUAUCAGCUUGUUGGUGGGGUAGUGGCUUACCAAGGCUUUGACGGGUAGCCGGCCUGAGGGGGUGACCGGCCACAUUGGGACUGGGAUACGGCCCAGACUCCUACGGGAGGCAGCAGUGGGGAAUAUUGCACAAUGGGCGGAAGCCUGAUGCAGCAACGCCGCGUGCGGGAUGACGGCCUUCGGGUUGUAAACCGCUUUCGCCUGUGACGAAGCGUGAGUGACGGUAAUGGGUAAAGAAGCACCGGCUAACUACGUG
rnacentral:rRNA from 1 species